GUUGUCGAAUUGAGUUUUGCUCUCCAUACAUGCAUGAUUACCGCUACAUAGAGCUAGUAAUUUAGCAGAUAAUGUUUUGAGAAUUCUGCGGGUUUUUCACAGGGAACCUUCCAGGAAUACCAUUCCCAGAGUUGCAUUUAGACUCUCCACGAUGGAUUGCACAACAUUCACAAGAAAGUUGUCUAGGAGUACAAGCACCAGCUGCACAGACAUAUUCUGGAAUUGGACAUGCAGAAUUCGCCACGCAGUCUUGUCAGCUAG